UACGUAGGCAGCGAGCGUUGUUCGGAAUUACUGGGCGUAAAGAGUGUGUAGGUGGUGCUCUAAGUUUGGUGUGAAAUCUCCCGGCUCAACCGGGAGGGUGCAUCGAAAACUGGAAUGCUCGAGGAUGGGAGAGGUAAGCGGAAUUCCUGGUGUAGCGGUGAAAUGCGUAGAUAUCAGGAGGAACACCUGUGGUGUAGACAGCUUACUGGACCAUUUCUGACACUGAGACACGAAAGCGUGGGUAGCAAACAGG
rnacentral:rRNA from 1 species